AUGAUGGCGGGCGCCUCAGGUUCAGUCGAAGAGGAGGGAGGACUAAGGGCGGAGGAGUCCCCGUCCGGCGGCGUCGACGUCUGGAGCGACGCCGUCUCCUCCCACGCCCCGGAACACCUCCUCGUCAUGGUCCACGGCAUCCUCGGCAGUACCAAUGACUGGCAAUACGCAGCCAACGAAUUUGUAAAGCAGCUUCCUGAUGAUGUAAUUGUGCAUUGCAGUGAGAAAAACAUGAAUACAUUGACUCUAGACGGUGUCGACGUUAUGGGAGAACGCUUAGCAGAUGAGGUUCUUGAUGUAAUUAGUCGAAAGCCAGAGCUCACCAAAAUUUCUUUUCUUGCACACUCCGUUGGAGGCUUAGUAGCAAGAUAUGCAAUUGCAAAACUUUAUAGACAUCCAAAUAGCACGUUCGACAGCAAAGCUGAAGGAACCGUAUGCGGGUUGGAAGCGGUGAACUUUAUAACCGUAGCAACGCCUCACCUUGGUUCUCGAGGAAACAAGCAGGUUCCACUCCUCUUUGGAUUCAUUACGAUUGAGAAGGUUGCUUCUCGUGUCAUCCAUUGGAUAUUUAGGAGAACUGGGAGACAUCUUUUUCUUACUGAUAGUGCUGAGGGAGAACCGCCACUGUUGCAGCGUAUGGUUGAAGAUUAUGGCGAUCUUUACUUUAUAUCUGCUUUGCGAGCAUUUAAGCGACGAGUGGCAUAUGCUAAUGCUGAUUGCGACCACAUUGUUGGCUGGAGAACAUCAUCUAUUAGAAGAAACACCGAGCUGCCUAAGUGGGAGGAAUCUGUAUGUGAGAAGUAUCCCCACAUUGUACAUGAGGAAUACUCUGAAGAAAUCAGCGAUGAGAAGUGUCAAGAUUUGGCAGCAGACUGCGAUUUUGACUUACUGGAAGAAAAAAUGGUGACAGGGCUGAGACGCGUUUCAUGGGAAAAGGUAGAUGUUAGCUUCCACACGAGCAUGCGGAGUUUCGCAGCGCACAGCAUUAUCCAGGUCAAGUAUGCGUUUAUGAACGAAGGAGCGGACGUCAUACAGCACAUAAUAGACCAUUUCCAGCUCUGA
rnacentral:rRNA from 1 species